rnacentral:rRNA from 1 species
AUUGAACGCUGGCGGCAUGCUUUACACAUGCAAGUCGAACGGUAACAGGCCGCAAGGUGCUGACGAGUGGCGAACGGGUGCGUAAUGCAUCGGAACGUGCCCAGUCGUGGGGGGUAACUACUCGAAAGAGUAGCUAAUACCUCAUACGAUCUAUGGAUGAAAGCGGGGGACCGUAAGGCCUCGCGCGAUUGGAGCGGCCGAUGUCAGAUUAGGUAGUUGGUGGGGUAAAGGCUCACCAAGCCAACGAUCUGUAGCUGGUCUGAGAGGACGACCAGCCACACUGGGACUGAGACACGGCCCAGACUCCUACGGGAGGCAGCAGUGGGGAAUUUUGGACAAUGGGCGCAAGCCUGAUCCAGCAAUGCCGCGUGCAGGAAGAAGGCCUUCGGGUUGUAAACUGCUUUUGUACGGAACGAAACGGCUCUGGUUAAUACCCGGGGCUAAUGACGGUACCGGAAGAAUAAGCACCGGCUAACUACGUG